rnacentral:rRNA from 1 species
UUAAGCGACUAAGCGUACACGGUGGAUGCCCUGGCAGUCAGAGGCGAUGAAGGACGUGCUAAUCUGCGAUAAGCGUCGGUGAGGUGAUAUGAACCGUUAUAACCGGCGAUUUCCGAAUGGGGAAACCCAGUGUGUUUCGACACACUAUCAUUAACUGAAUCCAUAGGUUAAUGAGGCGAACCGGGGGAACUGAAACAUCUAAGUACCCCGAGGAAAAGAAAUCAACCGAGAUUCCCCCAGUAGCGGCGAGCGAACGGGGAGCAGCCCAGAGCCUGAAUCAGUGUGUGUGUUAGUGGAAGCGUCUGGAAAGGCGCGCGAUACAGGGUGACAGCCCCGUACACAAAAAUGCACAUGCUGUGAGCUCGAUGAGUAGGGCGGGACACGUGGUAUCCUGUCUGAAUAUGGGGGGACCAUCCUCCAAGGCUAAAUACUCCUGACUGACCGAUAGUGAACCAGUACCGUGAGGGAAAGGCGAAAAGAACCCCGGCGAGGGGAGUGAAAAAGAACCUGAAACCGUGUACGUACAAGCAGUGGGAGCCUCUUUAUGGGGUGACUGCGUACCUUUUGUAUAAUGGGUCAGCGACUUAUAUUCUGUAGCAAGGUUAACCGAAUAGGGGAGCCGAAGGGAAACCGAGUCUUAACUGGGCGUUAAGUUGCAGGGUAUAGACCCGAAACCCGGUGAUCUAGCCAUGGGCAGGUUGAAGGUUGGGUAACACUAACUGGAGGACCGAACCGACUAAUGUUGAAAAAUUAGCGGAUGACUUGUGGCUGGGGGUGAAAGGCCAAUCAAACCGGGAGAUAGCUGGUUCUCCCCGAAAGCUAUUUAGGUAGCGCCUCGUGAAUUCAUCUCCGGGGGUAGAGCACUGUUUCGGCAAGGGGGUCAUCCCGACUUACCAACCCGAUGCAAACUGCGAAUACCGGAGAAUGUUAUCACGGGAGACACACGGCGGGUGCUAACGUCCGUCGUGAAGAGGGAAACAACCCAGACCGCCAGCUAAGGUCCCAAAGUCAUGGUUAAGUGGGAAACGAUGUGGGAAGGCCCAGACAGCCAGGAUGUUGGCUUAGAAGCAGCCAUCAUUUAAAGAAAGCGUAAUAGCUCACUGGUCGAGUCGGCCUGCGCGGAAGAUGUAACGGGGCUAAACCAUGCACCGAAGCUGCGGCAGCGACGCUUAUGCGUUGUUGGGUAGGGGAGCGUUCUGUAAGCCUGCGAAGGUGUGCUGUGAGGUAUGCUGGAGGUAUCAGAAGUGCGAAUGCUGACAUAAGUAACGAUAAAGCGGGUGAAAAGCCCGCUCGCCGGAAGACCAAGGGUUCCUGUCCAACGUUAAUCGGGGCAGGGUGAGUCGACCCCUAAGGCGAGGCCGAAAGGCGUAGUCGAUGGGAAACAGGUUAAUAUUCCUGUACUUGGUGUUACUGCGAAGGGGGGACGGAGAAGGCUAUGUUGGCCGGGCGACGGUUGUCCCGGUUUAAGCGUGUAGGCUGAUUUUCCAGGCAAAUCCGGAAAAUCAAGGCUGAGGCGUGAUGACGAGGCACUACGGUGCUGAAGCAACAAAUGCCCUGCUUCCAGGAAAAGCCUCUAAGCAUCAGGUAACAUCAAAUCGUACCCCAAACCGACACAGGUGGUCAGGUAGAGAAUACCAAGGCGCUUGAGAGAACUCGGGUGAAGGAACUAGGCAAAAUGGUGCCGUAACUUCGGGAGAAGGCACGCUGAUAUGUAGGUGAAGCGACUUGCUCGUGGAGCUGAAAUCAGUCGAAGAUACCAGCUGGCUGCAACUGUUUAUUAAAAACACAGCACUGUGCAAACACGAAAGUGGACGUAUACGGUGUGACGCCUGCCCGGUGCCGGAAGGUUAAUUGAUGGGGUUAGCGGUAACGCGAAGCUCUUGAUCGAAGCCCCGGUAAACGGCGGCCGUAACUAUAACGGUCCUAAGGUAGCGAAAUUCCUUGUCGGGU